rnacentral:lncRNA from 1 species
UGGGUUAUCUCAAGUUCUAAUGAGAGGUUUGUGGAAAAAUCAAGUGCUUAUCUUCGGUAUAAAAUGCAUGCAUUGUACGGCAGAAAGCUAAAAUUUGAGCUAUGUGUAUUGGCUAAAGAAAGAGAACUUUCAUCUGUGAAGCAUUGGGCUAAAAAAGAAAAAAGCAGGCAAAAUCCAGGAGUAAAUUGGAAAAGGGGAGAUGAAAUUAAUAAUUAUUUUCUUUUGUUGAUAGGAAACGUACAAUGGUAAAAGAAAAAACAUGGCUCAGUUUUUGUCCUUGCUAAUAUUAUAUUGCUGGUUGACGAGAGAUGGGCGUGUCAUUUCCCCACACCAAGUUGGGGAACAUAACGUCAUAACCUGGAAAAAUUAUAAUAUACAUAAUUUGAUAUAUAAAUAAAAAUUAUUAUUUAAAAAAAUGUUUGAUAUAUAUUUUUUCUUUUCAGUAUUCACUUUUCUUAAUUUUAGAGUAUAUUUUAAUACAAUUAUUCAAAUUUUAUUGGGUGUCACUCUAAAUUAACUGAAUUUCAUGAUCUUUUAGAUGUUCUCAAGAAUAAGUAAAAUAAAAUUUUCAGUGAAAUGGAAGAAUAAGAUGAUGGGUAUAUUUAUUUAAUAUAUACAAGCGGUCAAUAAAUAAGUAUUAUUUUAAUUAAAUUUAUAUUUUUUUCGUUUUAUAAUUUUUACUUAUUUUUUAUUUUUUAUUAUUUUAAAAUUAUUAUAAUUAUAAAAAAUAAUUAAUAUAUCUUAUCAAAUGGGUGUAUAAAUUCCUAGUAUACCUAAGAAAUUUUCAAUCUCACAUUCUAGGUGGCAUAGUAUUAAAAUAUGCACCGACUUGUUUGGCAUGCAAAUAAAGGAAAGCAAGCAAAACAGUCGGAAUACAAAACCCAAAAAUUAAUGACAUAAACCAACAAAACUGAGCCAAUUCCAUCAACCCUACAGCCAAAAUGUCAUCAUUGAUCCUUUGAAAUGGCAGAUUAAUGUCAUUUUAAACUCUUUUUUCAGGUUGGUAAGAUUGGCACAAAAGCUGAAAACUAUAAUAAUUAGAUUUUGUUUGUUUCAAAUUCUAUAUUUUCCGGAAAAUAAACACUGUAUUUUAAAUUUCUGAAACUUUUAAACAAAAUAACAUACAAACAAAUUGAAUCAAUUUCAUGUAAAGUUGAAGUUCAUGAGUUAACUUACCCAACCAAAUAAAGUCUAGAAACUAAUUCUCUACAAGUGGGGCUCCACCUAGAUGUGUGCUGCUGUUAUGUGGUCGGCAUCGGAGCCAACGGUCAGAAAGGGAGAAAAUCCAAUGAAUAGAGAGGUAGGUUGGAGGAAAAGGAAACUUGUGUUUGGAUCUCACCAUCAGCUUUCUCUAUUUUCUUCUUUGAGAAUAAAACAGUCCCAGACAAAUUGAUAUCUGGACAGGUUUUGCUUAACUUGCAG